UUAGUACCGAUUGAAAUUCAAGGAUCUUUGACGAUACAAAUAACAACUGAAACUUCUGUGAACAGUAACGGUCUGUUCAAUGCAAUUUCCACCAAAGUAACUGUCUUUAAAUCUGGCGACCUCACUGUUAGAGCUCUUGGGAUAGGCUUAGGCAUUAGUGGACUUUCUCAAGCAGAUGCUGUGAUCGGAAUUCUUAUUUCUUCCAUAACCCAGCAGGUGACUCCUGUAAUUCAACCAAAUUUGGUUGGAAUAUUGCUAGAUGCCAUAAAUAAUCCCGAUGGCUGCCUCCCAAAUCUAGGGUUGAACUGAAAAAUGAAGGCUCCUCUGACUCCGUAUGAAGUGAAAAUAAGCCUUGGGGUGAAUAUUUACUUUCCAUCGGCUGAUCUGUUUAGGCAGUGGGUAGUUGGGUCUAUGUCAGCGUUGUUUUCUGAUUAUCAUGCAGAUUUCACAUAAAUAAAAUCUUACAAUGCAUUGCAAUAUCGCCUUGUUACUUGUUCUUGUAUUGGAGGGGGAAUGUUUGGUGAUACCAAACAUAACAGCUUAUAUUUAUACAAUACACAUCUCCACCUGCUCAGUAGUAUUUUAUCUGCCCCAUUGAUAAACAU